CCUCCGCUCUCUUGCAGUCUUCUCUCAACCUGCAAUUAUGAAGCUCCAAACAAUAACGCGAGGCAGGACGUGCAGCCAAGACCCUGAGCACCCCGGAUCUCCCCCAGGACUCCCCCAGGUGUUGGCGGACCACCAGCCUCCCUCACCUGUUCCUCGCAUCUGUGGCUAUGUGCGUACGUCUAGAACUUCGUAAUGUAAGUACAAUAAUUUCCUUCAGACAUUACAACUCUCUCCACAUUUAGUAAUAAUCUUUCACUUCAAAAACAAUGAAAAAUUAAAUUUUAAAAAA